UACGUAGGGUGCGAGCGUUGUCCGGAAUUAUUGGGCGUAAAGGGCUCGUAGGCGGUCUGUCGCGUCGGGAGUGAAAACUCAGGGCUUAACCCUGAGCCUGCUUCCGAUACGGGCAGACUAGAGGUAUGCAGGGGAGAACGGAAUUCCUGGUGUAGCGGUGAAAUGCGCAGAUAUCAGGAGGAACACCGGUGGCGAAGGCGGUUCUCUGGGCAUUACCUGACGCUGAGGAGCGAAAGCUAGGGUAGCAAACGGG
rnacentral:rRNA from 1 species